rnacentral:tRNA from 1 species
CGGCACGUAGCGCAGAUUGGUAGCGUACUGGCAUGGGGUGCCAGUGGUCAGAGGUUCAAAUCCUCUCGUGCCGA